rnacentral:rRNA from 1 species
GCAAACAUGAGUCCGGGGGCGGAGUAUAGAGAGAGGGUUCGGGUGUUGGUGGUAAUUAAUGUGGGGAAAGUGACUGUGGGCGGAUAGGUAAGUGGCGGGUGAAAGCUCCAGGCGCAACAGGGAAAGUGCGCGCGAAACUGGCGAGCUUGAGUUCCGGAGAGGGUGGCGGAAGUCCCGGUGUAGAAGUGAAAUUCGUAGAGAUCGGGAGGAACACCAGAGGCGAAGGCGGCCACCUGGACGGACUCUGACGCUGAGACGCGAAAGCGUGGGGAGCAAACAGGAUUAGAUACCCGGGUAGUC